rnacentral:rRNA from 1 species
UACGUAGGGUGCGAGCGUUGUCCGGAAUUAUUGGGCGUAAAGAGCUCGUAGGCGGCUUGUCGCGUCGGAUGUGAAAGCCCGGGGCUUAACUCCGGGUCUGCAUUCGAUACGGGCAGGCUAGAGUUCGGUAGGGGAGAUCGGAAUUCCUGGUGUAGCGGUGAAAUGCGCAGAUAUCAGGAGGAACACCGGUGGCGAAGGCGGAUCUCUUGGCCGAUACUGACGCUGAGGAGCGAAAGCGUGGGGAGCGAACAGG